AGACCCGAAACCCGGUGAUCUAGCCAUGGGCAGGUUGAAGGUUGGGUAACACUAACUGGAGGACCGAACCGACUAAUGUUGAAAAAUUAGCGGAUGACCUGUGGCUGGGGGUGAAAGGCCAAUCAAACCGGGAGAUAGCUGGUUCUCCCCGAAAGCUAUUUAGGUAGCGCCUCGUGAAUUCAUCUCCGGGGGUAGAGCACUGUUUCGGCUAGGGGGCCAUCCCGGCUUACCAACCCGAUGCAAACUGCGAAUACCGGAGAAUGUUAUCACGGGAGACACACGGCGGGUGCUAACGUCCGUCGUGAAGAGGGAAACAACCCAGACCGCCAGCUAAGGUCCCAAAGUCAUGGUUAAGUGGGAAACGAUGUGGGAAGGCCCAGACAGCCAGGAUGUUGGCUUAGAAGCAGCCAUCAUUUAAAGAAAGCGUAAUAGCUCACUGGUCGAGUCGGCCUGCGCGGAAGAUGUAACGGGGCUAAACCAUGCACCGAAGCUGCGGCAGCGAACGUAUCACCCAAGACAACUUUACGGAGUUGACGAUUGACGGAGCGAAGCGACGUCAAAGCGUUCAUUAAAGUCGAGUUGGCUUAGGGAUACGUUCGUUGGGUAGGGGAGCGUUCUGUAAGCCUGUGAAGGUGUGUCGUGAGGCAUGCUGGAGGUAUCAGAAGUGCGAAUGCUGACAUAAGUAACGAUAAAGCGGGUGAAAAGCCCGCUCGCCGGAAGACCAAGGGUUCCUGUCCAACGUUAAUCGGGGCAGGGUGAGUCGACCCCUAAGGCGAGGCCGAAAGGCGUAGUCGAUGGGAAACGGGUUAAUAUUCCCGUACUUGGUGUUACUGCGAAGGGGGGACGGAGAAGGCUAUGUUGGCCGGGCGACGGUUGUCCCGGUUUAAGCGUGUAGGUGUGUGUUCCAGGUAAAUCCGGUUCACUUUAACACUGAGGCGUGAUGACGAGGCACUACGGUGCUGAAGCAACAAAUGCCCUGCUUCCAGGAAAAGCCUCUAAGCAUCAGGUAACAUCAAAUCGUACCCCAAACCGACACAGGUGGUCAGGUAGAGAAUACCAAGGCGCUUGAGAGAACUCGGGUGAAGGAACUAGGCAAAAUGGUGCCGUAACUUCGGGAGAAGGCACGCUGACACGUAGGUGAAGUGAUUUACUCAUGGAGCUGAAGUCAGUCGAAGAUACCAGCUGGCUGCAACUGUUUAUUAAAAACACAGCACUGUGCAAACACGAAAGUGGACGUAUACGGUGUGACGCCUGCCCGGUGCCGGAAGGUUAAUUGAUGGGGUCAGCGCAAGCGAAGCUCCUGAUCGAAGCCCCGGUAAACGGCGGCCGUAACUAUAACGGUCCUAAGGUAGCGAAAUUCCUUGUCGGGUAAGUUCCGACCUGCACGAAUGGCGUAAUGAUGGCCAGGCUGUCUCCACCCGAGACUCAGUGAAAUUGAACUCGCUGUGAAGAUGCAGUGUACCCGCGGCAAGACGGAAAGACCCCGUGAACCUUUACUAUAGCUUGACACUGAACAUUGAGCCUUGAUGUGUAG
rnacentral:rRNA from 1 species